CUCCUACGGGAGGCAGCAGUGGGGAAUAUUGGACAAUGGGGGGAACCCUGAUCCAGCGACGCCGCGUGGAGGAAGAAGUCCUUCGGGACGUAAACUCCUGAACUUACCGAACAAUAAGGAUGGUAGGGAAUGGCCAUCUGAUGAGGGUAGGUAAGGAAAAGCCCCGGCUAACUACGUGCCAGCAGCCGCGGUAAUA
rnacentral:rRNA from 1 species